rnacentral:rRNA from 1 species
GCGUGAGUGAUGAAGGCCUUAGGGUUGUAAAGCUCUUUCAGUGGGGAAGAUAAUGACGGUACCCACAGAAGAAGCCCCGGCUAACUUCGUGCCAGCAGCCGCGGUAAUACGAAGGGGGCUAGCGUUGUUCGGAUUUACUGGGCGUAAAGCGCACGUAGGCGGAUAUUUAAGUCAGGGGUGAAAUCCUGGAGCUCAACUCCAGAACUGCCUUUGAUACUGGGUAUCUAGAGUCCGGAAGAGGUGAGUGGAACUCCUAGUGUAGAGGUGGAAUUCGU